rnacentral:rRNA from 1 species
AAGUUGCAGGGUAUAGACCCGAAACCCGGUGAUCUAGCCAUGGGCAGGUUGAAGGUUGGGUAACACUAACUGGAGGACCGAACCGACUAAUGUUGAAAAAUUAGCGGAUGACUUGUGGCUGGGGGUGAAAGGCCAAUCAAACCGGGAGAUAGCUGGUUCUCCCCGAAAGCUAUUUAGGUAGCGCCUCGUGAAUUCAUCUCCGGGGGUAGAGCACUGUUUCGGCAAGGGGGUCAUCCCGACUUACCAACCCGAUGCAAACUGCGAAUACCGGAGAAUGUUAUCACGGGAGACACACGGCGGGUGCUAACGUCCGUCGUGAAGAGGGAAACAACCCAGACCGCCAGCUAAGGUCCCAAAGUCAUGGUUAAGUGGGAAACGAUGUGGGAAGGCCCAGACAGCCAGGAUGUUGGCUUAGAAGCAGCCAUCAUUUAAAGAAAGCGUAAUAGCUCACUGGUCGAGUCGGCCUGCGCGGAAGAUGUAACGGGGCUAAACCAUGCACCGAAGCUGCGGCAGCGACACUGUGUGUUGUUGGGUAGGGGAGCGU